UCUGAGGGGAGGGGUUUGAUGGACACAUCGCAUUUAGGGCAGAAUGUUCUAAUGUCUCAUUCUCUGCAUAACAUCUGCUUUGGAUCUCUAUAUUUUCUCCCAUCUGCUGCAGGAGGAGGAAGCGUUCCUGAUGAUGGCUGAGCAAAGCACUCACUGUUCUACCAGAAAUAAGUCCAUGCAUUUACAAUCAGUGAAUUUUAAUGAAGAUACUGAAAACACACAAUGGAGAAAAACCCCAAGUGAUUAAAGUCCCCAGAAAGAAGGAGCCCUCCUCCUCUACCAUCUGACUCCAGCCUAUCAAGUCUCACUAGGACUGCCUGCAUCCUCCUCCUCUGUGGCCUAGGAAGAUUCCCCAACCCCUGGGAGAAAAUAAAAGAAUGAUUUCACCAUUCGAAGAGAGGAGGAAGGAGAAUGCCACGAUGGGUUAGGUGGAGAAGGAACCACAUGGCAGAGGAGUAAGGACUCCAAGAAUGGUGUGGAAAGGACCAGAUGAAGAAUAAAAGCAAGUAUUCAUAAGAUUAUGGAUGGAAGGUAGCCCAGAUAAAGAAGGUUAAGGUAGAUGGCAUUGGAUGGGGGCUGGGAGAUGAGUGGUGAGGUUAUUGGGACAGUAUAGAUGAAAUAUCUGCCCGGCCCAAGAUAAAAUAAGGCAAUUAUAAAAUCUAACAGGUGUCUGUGUCUCAUUAUUUGUGAGAGUGGGUUAGAUAAUACCACCGGGUAAUCUCAGGUAAUAAUAAAUAUUAUUACACAGCCCAGCACCCACUUUCAUUUACUGUAACACCUAAUGAACUGCUGUUAGUAUAGCGGUUAGCAUCAUGAGUGAGUUGAUGAUGUGAAUUUCCUUAAGGCAGUUGGAUUACAAUGUAGUGGAAGUGUUUAAACAUCUUCAGGUUAUCACUGGAAACCAAAUAGAUGAACCAGCAUAGUGAGAGGAAAUUAAUACCCACGACAAACAAUCUUGAGAAAAGCGGAUGGGAGAAAAAUCAUACAACCCAAGCACACCAUCCACAGUCCCUUCCCCCAAGAGAGCUGGACCAAGGACCAACAGCUGAGUGGUGGGAAUGCUAGAACAGAGAAAAGUAAACAUGAAGAGUACAAAGGCUAAAAAACCACAAAUGUCAGCCAAGGCAUCUGUUCCACGCUGGGCAGGACCCAGUUAUUAUACAGGUCUGAAGCAACAACAACAUAAAGUUGUCCACAGGUAAGCACCCAUCAAGA